AGAGUUUAGAAAAAUUGGGUUGCCUCCCAAUUAGCGCUUUAUUUUAAGUCUGUAGCUAGACGUUGCGGAAGUCCGGUGGCUAGAUCAUUGGUUCGUUCAGAGUCAAAGACUCGUAUGCACCAAAUUUCCCUAUGCAUGGUUUUAGUUGAUGUUUGGUAACCUUGAAUGAGAAAUCUGUGCCCUCAGCCUUGAUGUCCACAUUACCAUUCUGAAAAACUUUAGUAACUAGAAAAUGACCUUUCCAUCGAGACUUUUGUUUUCCUGGAGAUGAUUUGAAAUAAGAACUUAACAACCACACUUUUUUACCAAGCUUUAUUUUUGC
rnacentral:lncRNA from 1 species